UCCGUAGGGUCCGAGCGUUGUCCGGAGUUACUGGGCGUAAAGCGCGCGCAGGCGGCGGUGCUGGCCCGGCGUGAAAGCCCCCGGCUCAACCGGGGAGGGUCGUCGGGGACCGCACCGCUUGAGGGCGGUAGGGGCUGGUGGAAUGCCUGGUGUAGUGGUGAAAUGCGUAGAGAUCAGGCGGAACACCCGUGGCGAAGGCGGCCAGCUGGGCCGUCCCUGACGCUGAGGCGCGAAGGCGUGGGGAGCGAACGGG
rnacentral:rRNA from 1 species